rnacentral:rRNA from 1 species
UCAUAUGCUUGUCUCAAAGAUUAAGCCAUGCAUGUCUCAGUACAAGCCAAAUUAAGGUGAAACCGCGAAAGGCUCAUUAAAUCAGUUAUGGUUCCUUAGAUCGUACCACUUUUACUUGGAUAACUGUGGUAAUUCUAGAGCUAAUACAUGCAAAUAGAGCUCCAACCGGAAACGGAAGGAGUGCUUUUAUUAGAUCAAAACCAAUCGGUAGCUUGCUAUCGUACAAUUUGGUGAAUCUGAAUAACUUUAUGCUGAUCGCACGGUCUUGCACCGGCGACGCAUCUUUCAAAUGUCUGCCUUAUCAACUGUCGAUGGUAGGUUCUGCGCCUACCAUGGUUGUAACGGGUAACGGGGAAUCAGGGUUCGAUUCCGGAGAGGGAGCCUGAGAAACGGCUACCACAUCCAAGGAAGGCAGCAGGCGCGCAAAUUACCCACUCCCGGCACGGGGAGGUAGUGACGAAAAAUAACGAUACGGGACUCAUCCGAGGCCCCGUAAUCGGAAUGAGUACACUCUAAAUCCUUUAACAAGGAUCAAUUGAAGGGCAAGUCUGGUGCCAGCAGCCGCGGUAAUUCCAGCUUCAAUAGCGUAUAUUAAAGUUGUUGCGGUUAAAAAGCUCGUAGUCGAAUUUGUGUCACGCACCGCCGGUUCAUCGUUCGCGGUGUUAACUGGCGUGUUGCGGGACGUCCUGCCGGUGAGUUUGUUCGUCAGAACAACUCAAUUUAAUCUUGCCACGGUGCUCUUCAUCGAGUGUCGAGGUGGGCCGGCACGUUUACUUUGAACAAAUUAGAGUGCUUAAAGCAGGCUAAAAUUUUGCCUGAAUACUGUGUGCAUGGAAUAAUAGAAUAGGACCUCGGUUCUAUUUUGUUGGUUUUCGGAACCCCGAGGUAAUGAUUAAUAGGAACGGAUGGGGGCAUUCGUAUUGCGACGUUAGAGGUGAAAUUCUUGGAUCGUCGCAAGACGGACUUAAGCGAAAGCAUUUGCCAAAAACGUUUUCAUUGAUCAAGAACGAAAGUUAGAGGUUCGAAGGCGAUCAGAUACCGCCCUAGUUCUAACCAUAAACGAUGCCAGCUAGCGAUCCGCCGACGUUCCUCCGAUGACUCGGCGGGCAGCUUCCGGGAAACCAAAGCUUUUGGGUUCCGGGGGAAGUAUGGUUGCAAAGCUGAAACUUAAAGGAAUUGACGGAAGGGCACCACCAGGAGUGGAGCCUGCGGCUUAAUUUGACUCAACACGGGAAACCUCACCAGGCCCAGACACCGGAAGGAUUGACAGAUUGAGAGCUCUUUCUUGAUUCGGUGGGUGGUGGUGCAUGGCCGUUCUUAGUUGGUGGAGCGAUUUGUCUGGUUAAUUCCGAUAACGAACGAGACUCUAGCCUGCUAACUAGGCGUAUUAGACAUCUUAAAGGCUCGCUUUGUCCAAAGUUCGCUUUGUGGCAUUAGCGUAGUUUUUACUGUCUGCGUACAUUAUAUUCUUCUUAGAGGGACAGGUGGCUUCUAGCCGCACGAGAUUGAGCAAUAACAGGUCAGUGAUGCCCUUAGAUGUUCUGGGCCGCACGCGCGCUACACUGAAGAAAUCAGCGUGUCUUCCCUGGCCGAGAGGCCCGGGUAACCCGCUAAACCUUCUUCGUGCUAGGGAUUGGGGCUUGCAAUUGUUCCCCAUGAACGAGGAAUUCCCAGUAAGCGCGAGUCAUAAGCUCGCGUUGAUUACGUCCCUGCCCUUUGUACACACCGCCCGUCGCUACUACCGAUUGAAUGAUUUAGUGAGGUCUUCAGACUGGUGCGCGGUAGCGUUUCGACGUCUUGCCGAUGUUGCUGGGAAGAUGACCAAACUUGAUCAUUUAGAGGA